rnacentral:other from 1 species
GUUUCAGACGAACCCUUGUGGGCUUGAAGC